rnacentral:lncRNA from 1 species
UUUGUGCUGCUAUAAUAAAACACCACAUACUGGGUAAUUUAAAACCAAGAGAAUCUUUUUUUUUCUCACAGUUCUGCAAACUGGGAAGUCUUGGGAUCAAGUUGUCACAUGUCUGGUGUCUAGCAAGGGCCUGUUCCUCAUAGAUUAUGCCUUUUGAGUGUCGUCAGAUGACAGAAGAGAUGGAAGGGGUGAAAACAGGUGUAUUUCCUCCUUUAAGUCCCUUGAUAAGGGCAUUGAUCCUAUUCUUUUAUAGUCCUCCGUAGUCACUAUCAUCGUGUCUCCUUCUGGGAGGAGAUUAUGAAACUGUGUUAAAGAAACACAGAGAGGAGUACAAAGGAGAGGCUGAGACUAAGACAGGAUUUUAUAAAUUCAAUGGAAGAGUCACUGGCUGAGAUUGUGGUUAUUGAACUGGACUGCUAUGCUUGGGUCCCCAUUUGAAUUAAGCAACCCUAGAGAUGUGUGUAUAUAUACACCUGCAUAUUUAUAUGUAAAUACAUAUAUACUCUCUGUGUGUGUGUGUGUGUGUGUGUGUGUGUGUGUGUAGUUUUCUGUUUAUUUUGGGGGUAUUGUUUAAGGUAUUGAUUUCUUUAUUAGACUCUUUGGUAGAAAUUUUACUGACAUCAAGUAUCAAGAAAUGUUUUGUUUCACCUGGACAAGAAUGCAUUUUUAUUUUGUGGUGGUUUUAUAACUGUUGGUGUUUUUCCAGUUGCUUUGACUUGCUAGGAAAGAACACCAUGUGUCAUAAAUUAUGGUGUGCUUUAGAGUGAAGUACUUUGCUCCAUCUUACAACCUUACUUUUACUUUCCCUUCAUCCUAUUUUCCUUAAAACUUCCCUUUGUUUUAAUCUUAGUGCAUUGCUGGUAUUUAUGAAGGCUAUUCAACUUCUCUUAAGAAGAGGAGAGGCCUUAAAUAAAUGGGUCAGCAAAUAGGCCUUAGUAUUUGAGCUCUUCACAAGGCCAAUCAUUGGGAGUCCAAUCACCUUUCUCCUGGAGGCUUGCUCAGAGCUUUAGUUAAAUCCUAUCAAAUAGUAAUUUCUUAUUAAGGCAGAGUUGGUCCUAAUAUUCAUCCAAGGAACACAUAUUCAAAUGAUAGACUUCUCGAAG